UACGUAGGGAGCAAGCGUUGUUCGGAUUUACUGGGCGUAAAGGGCGCGUAGGCGGCGCGGUAAGUCACUUGUGAAAUCUCUGGGCUUAACUCAGAACGGCCAAGUGAUACUGCAGUGCUAGAGUGCAGAAGGGGCAAUCGGAAUUCUUGGUGUAGCGGUGAAAUGCGUAGAUAUCAAGAGGAACACCUGAGGUGAAGACGGGUUGCUGGGCUGACACUGACGCUGAGGCGCGAAAGCUAGGGGAGCAAACGGG
rnacentral:rRNA from 1 species